CAGUAGCCGCGGUAAUGCAGAGGGUGCAAACGUUGUUCGGAAUUACUGGGCGCAAAGCGAGUGCAGGCGGUCUCAAAAGUCAGGUGUGAAAGCCCUGGGCUCAACCCAGGAAGUGCACUUGAAACUGCGAGGCUAGAGUACUGGAGAGGUUGGUGGAAUUCUCGGUGUAGAGGUGAAAUUCGUAGAUAUCGAGAGGAACACCGGUGGCGAAGGCGGCCAACUGGACAGAUACUGACGCUGAGACUCGAAAGCGUGGGGAGCAAACAGGAUUAGAUACCCCUGUAGUCUCUGUCUCUUAUAC
rnacentral:rRNA from 1 species